UUUCUCUAAUUAAGUACUGCUUCACCUGCUGCUCCCGCUGCCGCCGCCGUCGCUGUCGCCGUUCAUAUGAAAAAUAAUUGGAAAGCUUGUCUAUGAAAAGUUUGAAUAGGUCACUUCGAACCGUCUUUGGCUCUUUGGAAGAUAUGAUUAGGUUUUCUUUUUAGUUUUUUCACGAUUUCAGUGCUGCUCCAGGUGUGUGUGUGUUUGUGCAAAACUUUUGGACCAUAAUUGCGCACUUCAGGCCGGAGUGUUUCUGUCCGGCAUGAGAUGUUUGAAGGCGAGGGAGGGUUUUCCUCUUUCCUCAGGAACCACUUCUUCACUUCAGUAAGUGCACCUGGCUGCCAACAGACAUGCUCAUCAGGGACAAGCUGUUCAAACAGGCCCUGAUACAAAGGAUAACAGCAUGUGUAUCAGGUCAUCUCCCUCCAGGGAGGCGUCGGCCGUGACAUGGACAGCCUUAAUGGUCCCGGCCAACGGGGAGUUGACCACGGUCUCCAUCUUCAUGGCAGAGAGGACACACAGCGGC